UACGAAGGGGGCUAGCGUUGUUCGGAUUUACUGGGCGUAAAGCGCACGUAGGCGGAUCGAUCAGUCAGGGGUGAAAUCCCAGAGCUCAACUCUGGAACUGCCUUUGAUACUGUCGAUCUGGAGUAUGGAAGAGGUGAGUGGAAUUCCGAGUGUAGAGGUGAAAUUCGUAGAUAUUCGGAGGAACACCAGUGGCGAAGGCGGCUCACUGGUCCAUUACUGACGCUGAGAAGCGAAAGCAUGGGGAGCGAACAGG
rnacentral:rRNA from 1 species